ensembl:rRNA 5S_rRNA 5S ribosomal RNA
GCUUACGGCCAUACCACCCUGAGCUCACCCGAUCUCGUCUGAUUGCGGAAGCUAAGCAGGGUCGGGCCUGGUUAGUACUUGGAUGGGAGACCGCCUGGGAAUACUUGGUACUGGAAGCU